rnacentral:rRNA from 1 species
GCAAUCACGGGGCUCGCAGAAGCAACCGGCGAACGGGUGCGUAACACGUGAGCAAUCUGCCGUUUUCUGGGGGAUAGCCGGCCCAACGGCCGGGUAAUACCGCAUACGCUCAUCGGGGGACAUCCCCUGGUGAGGAAACCUCCGGGGGAAAACGAGGAGCUCGCGACCUAUCAGCUAGUUGGCGGGGUAACGGCCCACCAAGGCGACGACGGGUAGCUGGUCUGAGAGGAUGGCCAGCCACAUUGGGACUGCGACACGGCCCAGACUCCUACGGGAGGCAGCAGUGGGGAAUAUUGCGCAAUGGACGAAAGUCUGACGCAGCGACGCCGCGUGUGGGAUGAAGCUCUUCGGGGUGUAAACCACUGUUGCCCGGGACGAAUCUCUGGAUUUAUCCAGAUUGACGGUACCGGGUGAGGAAGCACCGGCUAACUCUGUGCCAGCAGCCGCGGUAAUACAGAGGGUGCGAGCGUUGUCCGGAAUCACUGGGCGUAAAGGGUGAGUAGGUGGCU